CCUAAAUAAUAAUAUCUUGUUUUAAUCAUUAGAAAAAGGAGAGGAGGGUGCUACAAAGAAAGAGAGUGUUUAAACAAUAUUUACAAGACAUUACAGCAACGCGGGACUAGAUAACUGUUAUACUUUUAUAGUAGCUGUUCCGGCCAAUACAAAAACAACAGUCUGUUGUUAUUCCUGCAUCAAGAUGUUUUUAUUAUAAUACUAAUAACUAAUAUUAAAUUACCAAUCUCAAUGGCAUUUUUUAAAUCAAUUUUUGUAGUACCUGUUGUGAUCUUUUUGAUCAUUCAGCAAGUGUCAAGCGAAAAACCAUGCAUUUGCAAGUGUCGCCAAACAGAGAUUAACUAUUCUGGCGAGCAAGUUGAAACUGUCAAAGAACAAUUUGUAGCUCCAAGAUAUGGGCUUGACAGGGACAGGAGCAGAAGCAGAGACAGAAGAGUGAGGAGGUGAUGAAAGGGGAGGACAAUAUCCUUAGGAAAUUAUUUGUAUCAUAUGUAUGAAAUAAGUAAUUAUAAGCAUUAUACAAAUAUAUUUGUUUCGAUUUUUUA